UUGUUUUCUUUGCUCCUCGAUUUUGGUAUUGAGUUUAUGUUUUGAAGUUUCGAGGACGAAACUUAUUUUAAGGGUGGUAGAGUGUAAUAGCCCUGUUUUUAAGUACCUUUAUUUAAAUGUUAAUUAUAUUUAUUAAGUUAAUUAUGUUUCGAAAAUUCUUAUUUUAUUUGAGUUGCGAAGUAUAAAUUUUAUUUGUCGUGCUGUAAAAUAUUUUACUUAAUUUUUAUGAAGUGAUUUUUACUAGUAAUUUAUGUGCAACUAGUUAAGUUAUAUUUUGCUGAAAAUAGGAACCUAAAAUCCACUUAUCUGUUUUCUUGGUCGGUUGGAUAAACCCCAAUUACCAUUUCCUUUGUCGGUUAAUGAAAGAUUCCAAAACCCAACACUUGCUUUCAUUCUUAUCCGUUGGUUUAUUUUGAAACCCACAAUACCCUUUUGUCGGUUGAAGAUAAACUAAAACAAACCCCCCCUAAACCUUUCUCUCUCUCUCGUGUCCUCUGUUCUCUCUAAACCCCCAAAAUUGAAACCCCAAACCCAAGAAACCCUUAUUCCCCUGCAUCUCUCUUCCCUUGUUUCUUCGGUUCGCCGUAAAAGCUCGCCAGAGCUUCGUCGUUUGCCACCACUACGUGGUUGUUUUAUCAGUUCGGUCUCUCGCCGGAGACCCAUACAACACUUCGGAGCCCCUGUUCCUCUCUCUCUCUCUCUCUCGUGCUAUGGUGUUGUUGCUCCUCUUCGUCGAUGUUUGUCAGGUUGUUGCUGCUAGCUGCUUCGCCGGUGAAUGCCUCCGCCUCCACGCCGAAGUUCCAAAGCUUCGAAAAUCUCCCUCGACCCCUCUGUUUCUCAAUUCUUCUCUGUUCGUCGCUGCUCCUAGUAGAGCAGAUGUAAAGACUAAUUUAUUUUCUGUUUUCCUCUUUAAAUUCUGAUUUUUCUAUUUGUUAAUUAAUCCCAAGUUGAUGUUGUUAUUUGUUGUUGCUGCUUUGUUUUAGUGGUGUAGUUGGGUUGUUCAGUGGUGGUGGUUUAUAAUUAAUGGGUUGUCGAAUUGUUGGUUGUUUGUGGUUGUUGUUCGGUGUUGUUAUGGUUGUUGGGUUGAUGUUGCUUUAUUUUUAGGUGGUUCGUUGUUGCUAUUGUUAUAUUGUUGUGGUGGUGGUGAUGUGCCACGGUUUUGGUUUGUUGUUGGUGUUGGUGUUGUGUUGUGUUGGUGUUGUGUUGGUUUAUAAAAGAAGAGAUGUUGUUGAAUUAGUUUGGCAAGAGUUAAGUUUAGUUAGUUCUGUUCUACAAUUUAGAUAUAUGAGUAUGACUUAAGGAUUAUGGAAUUAGAGUAUUAAAGGUGGAUAAUUUGUAAAUCGGAAUUGGUUAUGGUUUUAGUAUAUAGUUGAAAUAGUUAUUGAUUAUUGUUAUUGUUAUGAGGUGAUUAUUAGAAGAUGAAUUUGGAGUGAGGAAUCAUUCGGGAUUAUGAAGGAAAUUAUGUUGGUGGAAUUGGAUUGCGAUUCAGGUUUGGUAUCAAAGGCUUAGGAUUUUGAAGUGAAGCAAGUUAAAGAUGUCAUCGUAGCUUAUGAAUUGAGUUUGUAUUUUAGAUAGUCAAUUAAAGAAUAGUUUCUGAUAUAUUUCGUUGUAUACAAUAUUUGGAAAUAUUAGUCGAGAUAUUGGUGUAAUUGAAGUCUUAUAUAAAGGAUUUUGUUUUGUGGGCCAAUGACCCACAGGUCCAA